UACGGGAGGCAGCAGUGGGGAAUAUUGCACAAUGGGCGCAAGCCUGAUGCAGCCAUGCCGCGUGUAUGAAGAAGGCCUUCGGGUUGUAAAGUACUUUCAGUCGUGAGGAAGGUGUUAAGGUUAAUAACCUUAGCAAUUGACGUUAGCGACAGAAGAAGCACCGGCUAACUCCGUGCCAGCAGCCGCGGUAAUACGGAGGGUGCGAGCGUUAAUCGGAAUUACUGGGCGUAAAGGGCACGCAGGCGGUUAAUUAAGUUGGAUGUGAAAUCCCCGGGCUUAACCUGGGAAUGGCAUUCAAGACUGGUUAGCUAGAGUCUUGUAGAGGGGGUAGAAUUCCAUGUGUAGCGGUGAAAUGCGUAGAGAUGUGGAGGAAUACCGGUGGCGAAGGCGGCCCCUGGGACAAAGGACUGACGCUCAUGUGCGAAAGCGUGGGGAGCGAAACAGGGAUUUAGAUACC
rnacentral:rRNA from 1 species